ACUCCUACGGGAGGCAGCAGUGGGGAAUCUUGGACAAUGGGGCAACCCUGAUCCAGCCAUGCCGCGUGAGUGAUGAAGGCCUUAGGGUCGUAAAGCUCUUUCGCCUGUGAAGAUAAUGACGGUAGCAGGUAAAGAAACCCCGCUACAUCCGUGCCAGCAGCCGCGGUAAUACGGAGGGGGUUAGCGUUGUUCGGAAUUACUGGGCGUAAAGCGCACGUAGGCGGAUCGGAAAGUU
rnacentral:rRNA from 1 species